GGACCAGAAAGGCAGUUAAUACAUAUUUAAAUAAAGUUCCUGAUUAAAUAAGAUAACACUCACAGCCUUUUUAAUGGCUUUCAAUUGCUGCUGCUCCCAAACUCUGGAACUAUCUCCCACAGAAGCCCAGGCUGGCCCUUUCUUUGCUGUCCUUCUACAGCAGGCAAUGACCUUUCUCUUCAGAACAGCUCAUCACCACAGGAAGCCAAGAGUGACACAGAUACCUAAAUUGCAGCCAGAUUACUUUUCCUCAUUCCCUCAGUAACAACCAUAGAAGUCAGAAUACUACAAUGAAAAGAGAGCAGGAACUGUCUUAGUGGAAAAGGAGUAGUUAGGAUACAUUUCAUACAUUCCUUUCGAUCCACCAUCCAACUCAAUUAAACUGGUCUACUCUUCUUCAAGCAUAACAUUGCCAGCCAUAUAAAUUGU